rnacentral:misc_RNA from 1 species
GAAAGCAAAAGCAUUUGGAUGAUUUAAUGGCUAUGGUGGGUCAACUCAGAAAGGAUAAUCAACAAAUCGUCGCUAAUCUCACCGUCACAACGCAGCACUACGCCGCCGUCGAGGCUGAGAAUUCCAUUCUCAAAGCUCAGGCCGCCGAGCUCUCUCACCGUUUGCAAUCCUUGAAUGAGAUCGUGGCUUUCUUGAACCCCUCUGAUGGGGUUUUGGAAGAUGAUACCUACGGCUGCGACGGCGCCGGAGGGUUUUUUAGCCCUCUUCAAAUGGCUUUCUAUAUGAGUCACCCUCUUACAGCUUCUGCAGAUGUAUUUGGAGAGUAUUGAAAUUUGGCC